UGAGGAAUAUUGGGCAAUGCCCGCAAGGGUGACCCAGCAACGCCGCGUGGAGGAUGAAUGUCGUAAGAUUGUAAACUCCUGUUAGAGGGGAAGAAUAGUACCGGUUGGACCGGUAUAUGACUGUACCCUCAGAGAAAGCCCCGGCUAACUACGUGCCAGCAGCCGCGGUAAUACGUAGGGGGCAAGCGUUGUCCGGAUUUACUGGGUGUAAAGGGCGCGCAGGCGGGAUAAAAAGUCAGUGGUGAAAUCCUACAGCUUAACUGUAGAACUGCCUUUGAUACUUUUAUUCUUGAGUUCGGGAGAGAGAGACGGAAUUCCAGGUGUAGUGGUGAAAUACGUAGAUAUCUGGAAGAACACCAGUUGCGAAGGCAGUCACUUGGUCCAUUACUGACGCUAAAGCACGAAAGCGUGGGUAGCAAACA
rnacentral:rRNA from 1 species